rnacentral:rRNA from 1 species
GGGUUGUGAGGUUAAGCGACUAAGCGUACACGGUGGAUGCCCUGGCAGUCAGAGGCGAUGAAGGACGUGCUAAUCUGCGAUAAGCGUCGGUGAGGUGAUAUGAACCGUUAUAACCGGCGAUUUCCGAAUGGGGAAACCCAGUGUGUUUCGACACACUAUCAUUAACUGAAUCCAUAGGUUAAUGAGGCGAACCGGGGGAACUGAAACAUCUAAGUACCCCGAGGAAAAGAAAUCAACCGAGAUUCCCCCAGUAGCGGCGAGCGAACGGGGAGGAGCCCAGAGCCUGAAUCAGUGUGUGUGUUAGUGGAAGCGUCUGGAAAGGCGCGCGAUACAGGGUGACAGCCCCGUACACAAAAAUGCACAUAUUGUGAGCUCGAUGAGUAGGGCGGGACACGUGGUAUCCUGUCUGAAUAUGGGGGGACCAUCCUCCAAGGCUAAAUACUCCUGACUGACCGAUAGUGAACCAGUACCGUGAGGGAAAGGCGAAAAGAACCCCGGCGAGGGGAGUGAAAAAGAACCUGAAACCGUGUACGUACAAGCAGUGGGAGCCUCUUAAUGGGGUGACUGCGUACCUUUUGUAUAAUGGGUCAGCGACUUAUAUUCUGUAGCAAGGUUAACCGAAUAGGGGAGCCGAAGGGAAACCGAGUCUUAACUGGGCGUUAAGUUGCAGGGUAUAGACCCGAAACCCGGUGAUCUAGCCAUGGGCAGGUUGAAGGUUGGGUAACACUAACUGGAGGACCGAACCGACUAAUGUUGAAAAAUUAGCGGAUGACUUGUGGCUGGGGGUGAAAGGCCAAUCAAACCGGGAGAUAGCUGGUUCUCCCCGAAAGCUAUUUAGGUAGCGCCUCGUGAAUUCAUCUCCGGGGGUAGAGCACUGUUUCGGCAAGGGGGUCAUCCCGACUUACCAACCCGAUGCAAACUGCGAAUACCGGAGAAUGUUAUCACGGGAGACACACGGCGGGUGCUAACGUCCGUCGUGAAGAGGGAAACAACCCAGACCGCCAGCUAAGGUCCCAAAGUCAUGGUUAAGUGGGAAACGAUGUGGGAAGGCCCAGACAGCCAGGAUGUUGGCUUAGAAGCAGCCAUCAUUUAAAGAAAGCGUAAUAGCUCACUGGUCGAGUCGGCCUGCGCGGAAGAUGUAACGGGGCUAAACCAUGCACCGAAGCUGCGGCAGCGACACUAUGUGUUGUUGGGUAGGGGAGCGUUCUGUAAGCCUGUGAAGGUGUACUGUGAGGUAUGCUGGAGGUAUCAGAAGUGCGAAUGCUGACAUAAGUAACGAUAAAGCGGGUGAAAAGCCCGCUCGCCGGAAGACCAAGGGUUCCUGUCCAACGUUAAUCGGGGCAGGGUGAGUCGACCCUAAGGCGAGGCCGAAAGGCGUAGUCGAUGGGAAACAGGUUAAUAUUCCUGUACUUGGUGUUACUGCGAAGGGGGGACGGAGAAGGCUAUGUUGGCCGGGCGACGGUUGUCCCGGUUUAAGCGUGUAGGCUGGUUUUCCAGGCAAAUCCGGAAAAUCAAGGCUGAGGCGUGAUGACGAGGCACUACGGUGCUGAAGCGACAAAUGCCCUGCUUCCAGGAAAAGCCUCUAAGCAUCAGGUAACAUCAAAUCGUACCCCAAACCGACACAGGUGGUCAGGUAGAGAAUACCAAGGCGCUUGAGAGAACUCGGGUGAAGGAACUAGGCAAAAUGGUGCCGUAACUUCGGGAGAAGGCACGCUGAUAUGUAGGUGAAGCGACUUGCUCGUGGAGCUGAAAUCAGUCGAAGAUACCAGCUGGCUGCAACUGUUUAUUAAAAACACAGCACUGUGCAAACACGAAAGUGGACGUAUACGGUGUGACGCCUGCCCGGUGCCGGAAGGUUAAUUGAUGGGGUUAGCGGUAACGCGAAGCUCUUGAUCGAAGCCCCGGUAAACGGCGGCCGUAACUAUAACGGUCCUAAGGUAGCGAAAUUCCUUGUCGGGUAAGUUCCGACCUGCACGAAUGGCGUAAUGAUGGCCAGGCUGUCUCCACCCGAGACUCAGUGAAAUUGAACUCGCUGUGAAGAUGCAGUGUACCCGCGGCAAGACGGAAAGACCCCGUGAACCUUUACUAUAGCUUGACACUGAACAUUGAGCCUUGAUGUGUAGGAUAGGUGGGAGGCUUUGAAGUGUGGACGCCAGUCUGCAUGGAGCCGACCUUGAAAUACCACCCUUUAAUGUUUGAUGUUCUAACGUGGGCCCCUUACCGGGGUUGCGGACAGUGUCUGGUGGGUAGUUUGACUGGGGCGGUCUCCUCCUAAAGAGUAACGGAGGAGCACGAAGGUUGGCUAAUCCUGGUCGGACAUCAGGAGGUUAGUGCAAUGGCAUAAGCCAGCUUGACUGCGAGCGUGACGGCGCGAGCAGGUGCGAAAGCAGGUCAUAGUGAUCCGGUGGUUCUGAAUGGAAGGGCCAUCGCUCAACGGAUAAAAGGUACUCCGGGGAUAACAGGCUGAUACCGCCCAAGAGUUCAUAUCGACGGCGGUGUUUGGCACCUCGAUGUCGGCUCAUCACAUCCUGGGGCUGAAGUAGGUCCCAAGGGUAUGGCUGUUCGCCAUUUAAAGUGGUACGCGAGCUGGGUUUAGAACGUCGUGAGACAGUUCGGUCCCUAUCUGCCGUGGGCGCUGGAGAACUGAGGGGGGCUGCUCCUAGUACGAGAGGACCGGAGUGGACGCAUCACUGGUGUUCGGGUUGUCAUGCCAAUGGCACUGCCCGGUAGCUAAAUGCGGAAGAGAUAAGUGCUGAAAGCAUCUAAGCACGAAACUUGCCCCGAGAUGAGUUCUCCCUGACUCCUUGAGAGUCCUGAAGGAACGUUGAAGACGACGACGUUGAUAGGCCGGGUGUGUAAGCGCAGCGAUGCGUUGAGCUAACCGGUACUAAUGAACCGUGAGGCUUAACCUUACAACGCCGAAG